CACUGCCCAUUGUUAUCCGGGACUGAACUGUCUCGAAAGGACUGCGGACUGCUGUAUUAAUGCCUUCGGGUCGCGAUGUGGCGGGAAACAGUUCAAUCACAAUGGCUUGAACCGGGUAAAAGUCGUAACAAGGUAUCUGUAGAUGAACCUGCAGAUG
rnacentral:ncRNA from 1 species